rnacentral:rRNA from 1 species
GAUGAACGCUGGCGGCGUGCCUAAUACAUGCAAGUCGAGCGAACGGACGAGAAGCUUGCUUCUCUGAUGUUAGCGGCGGACGGGUGAGUAACACGUGGAUAACCUACCUAUAAGACUGGGAUAACUUCGGGAAACCGGAGCUAAUACCGGAUAAUAUUUUGAACCGCAUGGUUCAAAAGUGAAAGACGGUCUUGCUGUCACUUAUAGAUGGAUCCGCGCUGCAUUAGCUAGUUGGUAAGGUAACGGCUUACCAAGGCAACGAUGCAUAGCCGACCUGAGAGGGUGAUUGGCCACACUGGAACUGAGACACCGUCCAGACCCAUACGGGAGGCAGAAGUAAGGAAUCUUCCGAGAUGGGCGAAAGCCUGACGGAGCAACGCGGCGUGAGUUAUGAAGGUCUUCGGAUCGUAAAACUCUGUUAUUAGGGAAGAACAUAUGUGUAAGUAACUGUGCACAUCUUGACGGUACCUAAUCAGAAAGCCACGGCUAACUACGUG